UAGGGAAUCUUCGGCAAUGGGCGGAAGUCUGACCGAGCAACGCCGCGUGAGUGAAGAAGGUUUUCGGAUCGUAAAGCUCUGUUGUUAGAGAAGAACGUUGGUAGGAGUGGAAAAUCUACCAAGUGACGGUAACUAACCAGAAAGGGACGGCUAACUACGUGCCAGCAGCCGCGGUAAUACGUAGGUCCCGAGCGUUGUCCGGAUUUAUUGGGCGUAAAGCGAGCGCAGGCGGUUCUUUAAGUCUGAAGUUAAAGGCAGUGGCUUAACCAUUGUACGCUUUGGAAACUGGAGGACUUGAGUGCAGAAGGGGAGAGUGGAAUUCCAUGUGUAGCGGUGAAAUGCGUAGAUAUAUGGAGGAACACCGGUGGCGAAAGCGGCUCUCUGGUCUGUAACUGACGCUGAGGCUCGAAAGCGUGGGGAGCAAACAGGAUUAGAUACCCUGGUAGUCCACGCCGUAAACGAUGAGUGCUAGGUGUUAGGCCCUUUCCGGGGCUUAGUGCCGCAGCUAACGCAUUAAGCACUCCGCCUGGGGAGUACGACCGCAAGGUUG
rnacentral:rRNA from 1 species